rnacentral:rRNA from 1 species
GUGACGAGCGGCGGACGGGUGAGUAAUGUCUGGGAAACUGCCUGAUGGAGGGGGAUAACUACUGGAAACGGUAGCUAAUACCGCAUAACGUCGCAAGACCAAAGAGGGGGACCUUCGGGCCUCUUGCCAUCAGAUGUGCCCAGAUGGGAUUAGCUAGUAGUGGGGUAACGGCUCACCUAGGCGACGAUCCCUAGCUGUUCUGAGAGGAAGGACAGCACACUGGGACUGAGACACGGCCAGACUCCUACGGGAGGCAGCAGUGGGGGAUCUUGGACAAUGGGGGAAACCCUGAUCCAGCGAUGCCGCGUGUGUGAAGAAGGGCUUCGGGUUGUAAAGCACUUUAAUGUGGAGGAAGGAUAGUGGGUUAAGAGCUAGCUAUCUUGACGGUACACAAAGAAUAAGCACCGGCUAACUCUGUGCCAGCAGCCGCGGUAAUACAGAGGGUGCGAGCGUUAAUCGGAAUUACUGGGCGUAAAGGGCGCGUANGCGGUUGAUUAAAGCUGUGUGUGAAAGAAUUGGGCUUAAACUAAUUAAAGCAAAAAGAAACUGAUUGACUAGAAGUGAAGUAAGGUGAUAGGAAUUUCCAGGAAGUAACGGUGA